rnacentral:rRNA from 1 species
GCAGCGGAGGGCGCGGUCGAAAGAUCGUGGCCCCGCACACUGCUCAGUAACACGUAGUCAACCUACCCUUGGGACGGGGACAACCUCGGGAAACUGAGGCUAAUCCCCGAUAGGUGAGGGACGCUGGAAUGCCUCCUCGCCCAAAGCUCCGGCGCCCAAGGAUGGGACUGCGGUCUAUCAGGCUGUUGGUGGUGUAACGGACCACCAAACCUACGACGGGUACGGGCGAUGGGAGUCGGAGCCCGGAGAUGGGGACUGAGACAAGGCCCCAGGCCCUACGGGGCGCAGCAGGCGCGAAAACUCCGCAAUGCGCGCAAGCGUGACGGGGGAAUCCCAAGUGCCGUUGGUCUUAUGAUCGACGGUUUUUAGGAAGUCUAAGAAGCUUCCAGAAUAAGGGCUGGGCAAGACUGGUGCCAGCCGCCGCGGUAACACCAGCAGCCCAAGUGGUGACCACGAUUAUUGGGCCUAAAGCGCUCGUAGCCGGAUCAGCAAGUCCCUUGUGAAAUCGGGCCGCCCAACGGUUCGGCGUGCAAGGGAUACUGUUGAUCUUGAGGCCGGGAGAGGUCGGAGGUACUCCUGGGGUAGCGGUGAAAUGCUCUAAUCCUAGGGGGACCACCAGUGGCGAAGGCGUCCGACCAGAACGGACCUGACGGUGAGGGGCGAAGGCUAGGGGAGCGAACGGGAUUAGAUACCCCGGUAGUCCUAGCUGUAAAGCAUGCGGGCCAGGUGUCUAGCGCUCCUCGAGG